rnacentral:lncRNA from 1 species
GAAACUCUUCUUCCAAAUAGUUUGUGGCCCUUUAUGUACUUCUAAUCCCCUAACAACAGUAGAGUGGUAUCUGGUAUUCACUUCUCUGUGCAUUGUAUUGUCCCAGCUCCCAAAUCUUAAUUCAAUCGCAGGACUUUCCCUUAUUGGUGCCAUAACAGCCAUAACUUAUUCCACCAUGGUGUGGGUGCUCUCUGUUAGUCAACAAAGGCCACCUUCUAUCUCCUACCAACCCCUUUCUUUGCCAUCCUUUGGUGCUUCCAUCUUUUCAGUAAUGAAUGCGCUUGGAAUUAUAGCCUUUGCGUUUAGAGGGCAUAAUCUAGCUCUGGAGAUUCAGGUACGCACUCUGUUUUCUCGAAGUGUUAUAUCUUCCUGUGUCUGAAACAUGUAAUGUAAUCUAUGUUCUGAGGCCUUAAUAAUUUCAUUUAAUCUGGCUUUUCUCAGGCAACAAUGCCAUCAACAUUUAAGCACCCAGCUCAUGUACCCAUGUGGAAAGGAGCCAAAGUUGCUUAUUUCUUCAUUGCCAUGUGCUUAUUCCCUGUUGCCAUCGGAGGCUUUUGGGCAGAUAUAUAGCUUUUGUCAGUUAUCCACGAGGCAUACCUUUCGGGUGCAUUGACAUCCUCGAAACGCAAUUAUGGAUUUUGUUUUGCAGUUGUUAUCCUCUAGUUUCUGUUUUUACUCGUCUUUUUAAUCACUUUUUCUUCUCCUUCUUUUGUUUUUUUCCCUAAUCUAUGUCAUUCUUAGUUAACUUGUUAUAGUUAAGCUUUUAAUUCUGAUACUCUCCUGUUAUAUAUUCUUGACAUGUCCGAUGAAGGUGGGAUUUUUGGUCUCUGUUCAAAUUCUCGCAGUUGCCAGAUAUUUUUGUUUUCCCUGUUAAAAUAAAGUAACAAGUUUAAUCUUGCAAAAGAUUGUAACUUUGCGCAGUGCACUGCUUUUAAAAAUGCAUAUUCAGCACAUCCACCAAAAUAAAGCCACUGUGGUCUAUUGCAUAGUGAGGGGAAUCUCAUUAAAGUUUAUGGGGUGUGUGUCUAGCUAGUAGUAGUUGAUGAUCUUCUUUCUUUAUCUUUUUCAAAAUUUUAUUGCAGAUUUGGUUUGAAUACAAAUCGAAGCUACCCUUUAAGCAAUUUCAUUUCUUCUUUUUCGCUUUUGUAGAAGUUCAAUUAUUAUUUUCGAGAAGAGAUGCCAUCUUUGGCAUGGGUCCCUUCAUAAUUCUGUUUUUACUUUUGGCUUCUUUCAGACAGAGGGGCACUAGUUAAUUAAUUGAUUAUUAUUUAUUAUAAUUGUUUGGCUUUCAUGAAUCAUGAUCAUGAUACACAAAACAGUUCUCUUGCUAUUGAUGGCAAUUCAGAAGUAAUAGUUUACAGAAUUUAACAUUGUUGCUUAUUUUCUUUUUCUGUUCAUAUUUUUUAAAGUAAUUUACUGAUACUAUUGUUAUAAAUUAGGAACUUCUUUUUUCCCCUUCUUCUUACCAUUUAUAUAAAUACUUGAAGUGUUUUACAUUCAUGCGCACUCAAUAGUUACAAAUGCUCAGAAAGAUUUGGAAUAAGGGGCUGAUAGCUAGAAUUUUUAUCAAAUUUCUUGUGAUUGAGGAGAAUUGUGUCUGAACUAUAUGAAAAGAAUUAUGUAAAACUUCUUACAAUUGCAACUCUCCCUUGUAUCUUUUGCUGUUAGAGAAGCGGAGAACCUUGAUGUGUUGGCUUACAAACUUUACAAAACGGAGUCGAAAAAUAUAGUCACAAUGGUUAAUGGAAGGAAAUUGAUGUGUUGGCUUCGCUUUUGUUUGCAGGAGUUGGGGAAUAUUGUCCUUGACCAUAGCUUACUUCUGGCAACUUUAUACUUUAUGGAUUCUAGUUCAGCUACAUGAAGCAGUUCCUGGGAAGAGGUAUAACAGAUACGUGGAGCUUGCACAAGCAGCAUUUGGUGAGGAUACGGAAUUAACACUUGCUAUUUCUUUUCUGAUCGUUUGAUGUUUUAACUGCUUAGUGCUUAAUAAUCAAAUGUUAAGAUAAUAUAUACAAAUUAACAAUGAUUCUGUAUUCUCUUAUUUGCAGGGGAAAGAUUAGGUGUUUGGCUUGCUCUCUUUCCAACUGUUUACUUGUCAGCUGGAACUGCGACAGCUUUGAUUCUUAUAGGAGGGGAGACCAUGAAACUCUUCUUCCAAAUAGUUUGUGGCCCUUUAUGUACUUCUAAUCCCCUAACAACAGUAGAGUGGUAUCUGGUAUUCACUUCUCUGUGCAUUGUAUUGUCCCAGCUCCCAAAUCUUAAUUCAAUCGCAGGACUUUCCCUUAUUGGUGCCAUAACAGCCAUAACUUAUUCCACCAUGGUGUGGGUGCUCUCUGUUAGUCAACAAAGGCCACCUUCUAUCUCCUACCAACCCCUUUCUUUGCCAUCCUUUGGUGCUUCCAUCUUUUCAGUAAUGAAUGCGCUUGGAAUUAUAGCCUUUGCGUUUAGAGGGCAUAAUCUAGCUCUGGAGAUUCAGGUACGCACUCUGUUUUCUCGAAGUGUUAUAUCUUCCUGUGUCUGAAACAUGUAAUGUAAUCUAUGUUCUGAG